CCAGAGGCCAGGAAGUAAGCUCUGCUAGUCAAGUAGAGGGGUUUUGGAGUUGUGAUAUUUCUCUCCACUCCAACGAAACAUCUGAGUGCUCCAACCUGGAAAGACCUUAUAAGAAAACAUUUUCAUAUAGAAAGCAUCUUGGUGACAAGUAUUUUGUGGAGUCGAAUCAAUUAAUAAAGAUUAACCACUCCAUCAAGAGGGAUGCCAUCUUGAAAAGAGGAUGAUCCAUCACAGAAACAUGUGUCAGUCCUCAUGCUCUAUGAUGAGGAUCCAAUUACAACUUUCUGUGUAUACCAACUGCUUUUACCCUUUGGCAAGUUUGGCAGUUUCCCUUGGAGAAGUGGUAACCAGUAGUAUACAGUGGUCAGCCAAAACUGUUGAAACAAUAGUAUUGAUUAUUCAUACAGCAGCAGGAAAAAAAUCACUAAAGAAAAAUGCAGUUCAAAACAGCAGCAGUUUACACGCAAGUCUCACUCAACUAAAGCCCAGGCAUCUAGUGAUGGCAACUGUCUUAACCAGCUACCUGCAGGUAGUUCCUUCUCCAGAGUUCAGUGAAAAUCAAAUGCUCAAGUACCCAAGUAACUCUUGAAAAUGAAUCACUAUGAAAUAUUCUACCCAAAACUGCUUUACUUUCCAUGCACUCACCCUCAGAAGAAGGUGUAGAAGCACCCGUCAGCUCUUGGACCACAUGUAGGAUGGGUGGAGCUCCAGAUGGAGGAAGCUCUGUUGCUGUUGGAAAAGAAAGUUUAAAACUGCAGGUAUUGAGGCUCAGAAACUCCAAGCAGAAGAACUCUUAAUUCCCAUAGAUCUGGAUGUCUGAAAUUUCUGUUCAUUCUUAAUGAAGUAGCUCUCCUGAAGCACAGUCCAAACUACAGGUGCAGAAACCUUGAUCUGAUAUUUGACCUGUCAGCACUGAACAAGAAUGAGAAUGUUCAUCAUGUUUCAAGAAUGUUCAUCUUUGAGAUGAAAGUAAAGUACCUCAGCUAGCUGGCCAACACUGAGUAGAGCAAAAGCUUAAUCUAGACAUCCUACCCUGCCAGAAGCUAGCCUAAUACCUUGAAAUACAAGAUUUACUUUAUUACCUUGCAUACUAGAUCCACACUGUAUAAUAAAUGAUCUUUUGAAGUCUUUCA
ensembl:lncRNA